UUUCGCCUUUUUGUUUUCUUUGGUCAGAUGCCGCAGCCUCUUCCUUACUAUAAGGGAACUUGGGCAGCUGAGUGCAGACAAAGCUGACGAUGCAACGCAAGAAAGCGCCAGCAAAUAGCAUGAAGGACUUCCCAUGAAGAGCUCCUAGCGCGCUGCAAUCGCCCCGUGCUUGAAGAAACCUCGUUCUCGGUAAGAAAAAAGGGGAGGCUAGGCGAAGUCGGAAGGUUAAUGGAGAACAAUAACCGUCCAGCUGAUCACGGUCGCUGGAGGUAAGCUGCCGCAACCUUGAAUAUAUCUUGAGCUCUGUAGCCCAGCUCCCUCAGUAAGUUGGAGGAUCCCGGGCAAACUCACGCCGGAUUCUUGAUAUUGCUUCCCGUUCCUGCCUCUGAUCAUGUCACACUGUAUUCCACUGCGUGAAUGCUGUUUCGCGGCGAAAAAAGCUGUGGGUGAAGUCGUCGCAGACCUCUGAGCUUGUACUGUUCACUUGCACCUGCGAGUCCCAUGGGGGUCUUCCACUUUCCUGUGGAAAAAAAAAGGGCUUUGUCUCUUGAAACGUGGAGCGGAGCAUGCUGAUCGAAUUGCUACAAUUAAUUUCCUGGAGAAGAUCCUGCUAAAGAUCUUGAUUGGUGCCAUCGGAAUCAUGGGUAUUCCAACCAUCACUAACCUUGAAACCAUCGUGUGCAUUUACGCAGUGCUCAUAAUCGUCGGGCAGUUAUUAAUCCUCAAGAUGGGAAGGCAAGAUAUGGACCCAAGGUUCCGACUUGCGUUUGCUCACAUCAUUGUUGUUAUCAGAUGUGUCAAGUGCUGUCUGCUGAUGUACAUUUUGCUUCGUGUCAUGCCUUGGUCGAUUUUCGUUCUCCACGUCCUUGAGUUGAUGAACCCACAAGCAUUCAUCGUGAAUUAGAAAAUUGUGACCGUUUUCGGUUUUCUUAAUAUUGUGGUUUACUCUUUGGGAAACUAGUAUUGAUGUGCAUCGUGCUUAUGUUAUCCUAGACAUGAACCUUUUGUUGUACUAUUAUUACUUUAGGGACAUGGACCUUGUGUUGUACUAUUAUUACCUUGAACAUCAUCCAUAUCGAAAAGCAUAAUAUGUGAUGUGAUGAAGAGAAUAGUACUGUUUAGUUAA